rnacentral:rRNA from 2 species
UUGUUGAGGGGGAAGCCAUUGGCGGCUGGGAUGCACCCGGGCUCAAGCCUCCCCAACGGGAGGUGUUCCGCGCCGGGAGCUGGUCAGCAUGGGUUACGCCUGCGGGAGAAACCUCCUUCGGGAGUCUAUGCCGCGGGGGUGACCGAGGGACGAAGGGCGCUCUGUCUUCGGAUCUGCGCCCUCAAGAUGCUGGCAUAAGGCUGCCAAUGGGCCCGUCUUGAAACACGGACCAAGGAGUCUAACAUGUACGCGAGUUGGCGGGUGGAAAACCCGUGAGCGCAAGGAAACUGACUGGUGGGAUGGCCUGUGCCUGCACCAUCGACCGACCAUGAUCUUCUGUGAAAGGUUCGAGUACGAGCGUACCUGUUGGGACCCGAAAGAUGGUGAACUAUGCCUGAGCAGGGCGAAGCCAGAGGAAACUCUGGUGGAGGCUCGUAGAUGUGCUGACGUGCAAAUCGCUUUUCGGACUUGGGUAUAG